GUUACAGCAGCCGCGGUAAUACAGAGGGUGCGAGCGUUGUCCGGAAUCACUGGGCGUAAAGGGCGCGUAGGCGGUGGGGUAAGCGUGUGGUGAAAGCUCGGGGCUCAACUCCGAGUCGGCCAUGCGAACUGCUUCACUGGAGCACACUAGAGGCGGAUGGAAUUCCGGGUGUAGCGGUGGAAUGCGUAGAGAUCCGGAAGAACACCGGUGGCGAAGGCGGUCCGCUGGGGUGUUGCUGACGCUGAGGCGCGACAGCGUGGGGAGCAAACAGGAUUAGAAACCCCCGUAGUCC
rnacentral:rRNA from 1 species